GGAAACAGAUAUAGACACAUACACACAGAGAAACAGAGACAGAGAGAAAGACAAAAGCAAGGAAGAGGGGAAGAAAGAGAAAGAGACAGAAAGGCACUCAUACACAGAUUUCAUCUAACUACAGGGAUAUUCUCAAGUAGGGACUCAAGAUGGAUAAAAGUUUAUAUUGAUCCAUAUUAUAAUAGUCUUCCCAAAACAGAGAAGAAAAGUGCAUCUAGCUCAAUACCCAGAUGCAUAUGAUCAGGUUUGUAAAGGAAGAUUGAAGAGGAAGAGCCAGAUGACAUAGAUAAAUCAGAGAAAGCAGAGAUAAACGCUCUUCAAAGUCUGCCAAAUUUAGAAUGUGGAAAAGAAUCAGUGAACUAUCUCUUUUAAAAAACAUGAAAGGGGAAAAAAGCAGUUUAGAGAAGCUAACCAAAUAACGACUUUUGCUGCAAGAGUCUUCAGUCAAAUACCUGUCCAUCAUCCCAAUCAGACAGGUCUUAAUGUCUUUGCAUUAUGGAGAAGGUCCUCAGCUGCUUUACAGCCCAGCAUUUUAUCACACAUUCUGCUUGCAUAGCCUUCCCUGCACCUCCACAGAAAACCUUUCCAAGUUGGCAGCUUUUGUGUCUACUGUCAUUAAUCUUCACUAGGCUGUGAGCAUGGGGCAAAGGAUGAUUUAUGGCAGAUACCUCCAAUAGUGCCGAGCUCAGAAUGAAAGAUUUGGUCAAGAGGGUUUAAAUAUGUCAAACUGCUAAGAAGACUUGGAGAAAGCACUAUCAACCAUCCACUAAUUAUCCAUGAAAUGAUUACAUAGCCAUCAUGUCUGCCAGUGAAUGCUAAAUAUCAAAUGUUGUCAAAAUGAUGCCAAGUAAGACCUCUCUCAUCUCAAUAAAGAACUAUGUAAAUUGAUCUAGAGUUUGG